GACGAACGCUGGCGGCGUGCUUAACACAUGCAAGUCGAACGGUAAGGCCCCAGCUUGCUGGGGUACACGAGUGGCGAACGGGUGAGUAACACGUGGGUGACCUGCCCCGCACUUCGGGAUAAGCCUGGGAAACUGGGUCUAAUACCGGAUAGGACCGCACCGUGAGGGUGUGGUGGAAAGUUUUUCGGUGUGGGAUGGGCCCGCGGCCUAUCAGCUUGUUGGUGGGGUAAUGGCCUACCAAGGCGGCGACGGGUAGCCGGCCUGAGAGGGUGGACGGCCACAUUGGGACUGAGACACGGCCCAGACUCCUACGGGAGGCAGCAGUGGGGAAUAUUGCACAAUGGGCGGAAGCCUGAUGCAGCGACGCCGCGUGGGGGAUGACGGCCUUCGGGUUGUAAACUCCUUUCACCAUCGACGAAGGUUUUUUGACGGUAGAUGGAGAAGAAGCACCGGCUAACUACGUG
rnacentral:rRNA from 1 species